rnacentral:ribozyme from 2 species
ACUGUAAUGCGGCCGGUGACUAGUCACCGCAGGUUCCAAGUCCUGAAAAACGCAGAGGACAGA